rnacentral:lncRNA from 1 species
GUUAAAUUCAGCUGUCAGGUCUAGAUAAGCUUAUCUCCAAAAAGUGGCUUAGGAGAGAUCCGCUCCGGGCUGAAAUGCUUAACUGGUGACCCGCGGGAUACUGCGCUGCCUUAGCUCCCAGCAGGGCUUACUCUGCAUCUGCAUGUCCCCCCCUCCCCGAGAUGCUGAUGCUGUGAAGGGGAGAUGGGGGCCAUGGGGCUGCCUCUGCUGACACACACGCUGUCGGUGAGCCUACGUGUCCCAGAGAGAGUGAGCCCUACAACACGGCAUCCGAUUAUACACAGAGCUCCAGGAUGAAGCCCUGCUUUCUCUGUCAUUACGGACGCAAAGCGUGGCUGUGCGAGCUGAGUAGCGCGAAUCACAGCGUGGCACUGCACACAGCAGGUCGGGGAGCACCUACUUCCCCUGCUGCCAUGAAUUGACAUCCCGGUGGACUCUGGAUGGAUUGUGACACAGAGCCGUUUCCAUCUAAUCCUGACCCUGAGUGGGAGACGUGGGGAUUUGUGGGCGCAGAAGCUGCGGGGAUGCUCAGCGUUCUGCAGAGCUCACAGCACUCGUGGUCCUCGAUGGUAACCGUGCAGUCACUGAGCGCGGGAGUGCUCCGAGCUAAGAGAUCUGUGGUCUCAGAUCUGGAGAACCUUCAAGAAGAAGUCUGAAUGGAAGCAGGAGUAGAGGAAGCCACCCCCUCCUCAGCACACGUCCCUCAUUCGGCAUCAUCACGCAGACAGGAAUAAUGCGCUGCCCUGCUAUCGCACUGCGCUCUCCUUUGGGACCGCAGGCAAACCAGGAACCAGGUGUGUGUGCUUUUAUACUGGAAUUUCAUGGCAACGCGUAUCCUGGCUAACCUGCCUGAUCUUCAUCCCACAAAACAAUGGGGGAAAAAAGAAGCCUGGGAGUCCUAAAAUGGCAACAGCGGAUGGGAGCAGAUUCAGCGCAUUAGAAAGCAGAUUAGAUUAAGCAAACUGUUGAAAAUUUAUUCUUC